GACGAACGCUGGCGGCGUGCUUAACACAUGCAAGUCGAGCGGAAAGGCCCUUUCGGGGGUACUCGUGCGGCGAACGGGUGAGUAACACGUGAGUAAUCUGCCCUUCACUUUGGGAUAACCCCCGGAAACGGGAGCUAAUACCGGAUAUGACCGGCGACCGCAUGGAUUGUUGGUGGAAACUUGGUUGGGUGGGGGAUGUGCUCGCGGCCUAUCAGGUGGUUGGUGGGGGAGUGGCCUACCCGGGCUUUGACGGGUAGCCGGCCUGAGAGGAUGACUGGCCACACUGGGACUGAGACACGGCCCAGACUCCUACGGGAGGCAGCAGUGGGGAAUAUUGGACAAUGGGCGGAAGCCUGAUCCAGCAACGCCGCGUGAGGGAUGACGGCCUUCGGGUUGUAAACCUCUUUCAGCACCGACGAAGCGUGAGUGACGGUAGGUGCAGAAGAAGGACCGGCCAACUACGUGCCAGCAGCCGCCGCUGUAA
rnacentral:rRNA from 1 species